GAUGAACGCUGGCGGCGUGCCUAAUACAUGCAAGUCGAGCGAACAGAUGAGGAGCUUGCUCCUCUGACGUUAGCGGCGGACGGGUGAGUAACACGUGGAUAACCUACCUAUAAGACUGGGAUAACUUCGGGAAACCGGAGCUAAUACCGGAUAAUAUAUUGAACCGCAUGGUUCAAUAGUGAAAGACGGUUUUGCUGUCACUUAUAGAUGGAUCCGCGCCGCAUUAGCUAGUUGGUAAGGUAACGGCUUACCAAGGCAACGAUGCGUAGCCGACCUGAGAGGGUGAUCGGCCACACUGGAACUGAGACACGGUCCAGACUCCUACGGGAGGCAGCAGUAGGGAAUCUUCCGCAAUGGGCGAAGGCCUGACGGAGCAACGCCGCGUGAGUGAUGAAGGUCUUCGGAUCGUAAAACUCUGUUAUUAGGGAAGAACAAAUGUGUAAGUAACUAUGCACGUCUUGACGGUACCUAAUCAGAAGGCCACGGCUAACUACGUG
rnacentral:rRNA from 1 species